rnacentral:rRNA from 1 species
UACGAAGGGGGCUAGCGUUGCUCGGAAUCACUGGGCGUAAAGGGUGCGUAGGCGGGUCUUUAAGUCAGGGGUGAAAUCCUGGAGCUCAACUCCAGAACUGCCUUUGAUACUGAAGAUCUUGAGUCCGGGAGAGGUGAGUGGAACUGCGAGUGUAGAGGUGAAAUUCGUAGAUAUUCGCAAGAACACCAGUGGCGAAGGCGGCUCACUGGCCCGGUUCUGACGCUGAGGCGCGAAAGCGUGGGGAGCAAACAGG